CCUACGGGAGGCAGCAGUGGGGAAUAUUGCACAAUGGGGGAAACCCUGAUGCAGCGACGCCGCGUGAGUGAAGAAGUAUUUCGGUAUGUAAAGCUCUAUCAGCAGGGAAGAACAUGACGGUACCUGAUUAAUAAGCCCCGGCUAACUACGUGCCAGCAGCCGCGGUCAUACGUAGGGGGCAAGCGUUAGCCGGAUUUACUGGGGGAAAAGGGAGCGUAGACGGCAGCACAAGUCUGGAGUGAAAUGCCUGGGCUUAACCCCGGAACUGCUUUGGAAACUGGGCAGCUAGAGUGCAGGAGAGGUAAGUGGAAUUCCUAGUGUAGCGGUGAAAUGCGUAGAUAUUAGGAGGAACACCAGUGGCGAAGGCGGCUUACUGGACUGUAACUGACGUUGAGGCUCGAAAGCGUGGGGAGCAAACAGGAUUAGAUACCCCUGUAGUC
rnacentral:rRNA from 1 species